ACUUGACCCAUCUGCUUGUCCUGGCUUCGCUACACUAUCUGCCUUGAUCAGAGUCUGUCCACUGACAGGAGAUCAUAUUGUCACAUCAGAGAGACUCUAUAUUCCAUUUUCAUGAGGAUGACAGAGCAAUUACGGGAGGCUUGACGAGGACAAGACCUUACAGAUCCGCACCUGCACCUGUGUGUGUGCUUGUUCCCGUGGACUGUGGACAAGGAAACAGAAGUUUCUCAGGAGGUGGCCUCUACCAUCCAGUGCUUGAAUGAAUUUCCCAUUCUGUGAGCCUGGAGUCCUCUUAUCUCUCUGGUUGGAAUAACUGAUAUUGCGCCCCAUUUAAGGAUUUCUUGCAUUCAGAGUAAGCCAAUAAGUUGAGAAAAACAAGACUACAAAUCCUAACUGGUGCCCUGCUCAGAAGGCAUAUGAAUGUGUUGAACUGCGUGGAUGGACCAGAAUGCCCAAAAUGUAGAGCAUUUUCACGAG